rnacentral:rRNA from 1 species
UGUAGUCAUAUGCUUGUCUCAAAGAUUAAGCCAUAUGUCUAAGUAUAAGCAAUUAUACAGCGAAACUGCGAAUGGCUCAUUAAAUCAGUUAUCGUUUAUUUGAUAGUACCUUACUACUUGGAUAACCGUGGUAAUUCUAGAGCUAAUACAUGCUAAAAACCCCGACUCACGAAGGGGUGUAUUUAUUAGAUUAAAAACCAAUGCCCUUCGGGGCUCUUUGGUGAUUCAUAAUAACUUUUCGAAUCGCAUGGCCUUGCGCCGGCGAUGGUUCAUUCAAAUUUCUGCCCUAUCAACUUUCGAUGGCAGGGUCUUGGCCUGCCAUGGUUACAACGGGUAACGGGGAAUGGGGCGGGGGCGGCGGGCCGGGCGCGGGGCGCGGCGGGCG